rnacentral:rRNA from 1 species
ACUGCGAGUGAAGCGGGAAAAGCUCAAAUUUAAAAUCUGGUGGUCUUUGGCCAUCCGAGUUGUAAUCUAGAGAAGUGUUAUCCGCGCUGGACCGUGUACAAGUCCCCUGGAAUGGGGCGUCAUAGAGGGUGAGAAUCCCGUCUUUGACACGGACUACCAGGGCUUUGUGAUGCACUCUCAAAGAGUCGAGUUGUUUGGGAAUGCAGCUCAAAAUGGGUGGUAAAUUCCAUCUAAAGCUAAAUAUUGGCGAGAGACCGAUAGCGAACAAGUACCGUGAGGGAAAGAUGAAAAGAACUUUGGAAAGAGAGUUAAACAGUACGUGAAAUUGUUGAAAGGGAAACGCUUGAAGUCAGUCGCGUCUGCCAGGGAUCAACCUUACUUUUGUGAGGCGUACUUCCUGGUUGAUGGGUCAGCAUCAGUUUUGGUCGCUGGAUAAAGGUCAGAGAAAUGUGGCACCUUCGGGUGUGUUAUAGUCUUUGAUCAGAUACAGUGGCUGGGACUGAGGAACUCAGCGCCGCAAGGCUGUCUUAGGAUGCUGGCAAAAUGGCUUUAAUCGACCCGUCUUGAAACACGGACCAAGGAGUCUAACAUGCCUGCGAGUGUUUGGGUGGAAAACCCGAGCGCGUAAUGAAAGUGAAAGUUGGGAUCCCUGUCAUGGGGAGCACCGACGCCCAUACCAGAAGUUUACGGACGGAUAUGCGGUAGAGCAUGUAUGUUGGGACCCGAAAGAUGGUGAACUAUGCCUGA